GAGUUUGAUCAUGGCUCAGGAUGAACGCUGGCGGCGUGCUUAACACAUGCAAGUCGAACGAACCUUCGGGUUAGUGGCGGACGGGUGAGUAACGCGUGGGAAUCUGCCCUCAGGAGGGGGAUAACGGCUGGAAACGGCCGCUAAUACCCCAUAUGCCGAGAGGUGAAAUGAAUUUCGCCUGAGGAUGAGCCCGCGUCUGAUUAGCUAGUUGGUGAGGUAAGAGCUCACCAAGGCAUCGAUCAGUAGCUGGUCUGAGAGGAUGAUCAGCCACACUGGGACUGAGACACGGCCCAGACUCCUACGGGAGGCAGCAGUGGGGAAUUUUCCGCAAUGGGCGAAAGCCUGACGGAGCAACGCCGCGUGAGGGAUGAAGGCCUCUGGGCUGUAAACCUCUUUUCUCAAGGAAGAAGAUCUGACGGUACUUGAGGAAUAAGCCACGGCUAAUUCCGUGCCAGCAGCCGCGGUAAUACGGGAGUGGCGAGCGUUAUCCGGAAUUAUUGGGCGUAAAGCGUCCGCAGGCGGCCCUUCAAGUCUGCUGUUAAAAAGUGGAGCUUAACUCCAUCAUGGCAGUGGAAACUGUUGGGCUUGAGUGUGGUAGGGGCAGAGGGAAUUCCCGGUGUAGCGGUGAAAUGCGUAGAUAUCGGGAAGAACACCAGUGGCGAAGGCGCUCUGCUGGGCCAUAACUGACGCUCAUGGACGAAAGCCAGGGGAGCGAAAGGGAUUAGAUACCCCUGUAGUCCUGGCCGUAAACGAUGAACACUAGGUGUCGGGGGAAUCGACCCCCUCGGUGUCGUAGCCAACGCGUUAAGUGUUCCGCCUGGGGAGUACGCACGCAAGUGUGAAACUCAAAGGAAUUGACGGGGGCCCGCACAAGCGGUGGAGUAUGUGGUUUAAUUCGAUGCAACGCGAAGAACCUUACCAGGGUUUGACAUCCUGCGAACCUCUUGGAAACGAGAGGGUGCCUUCGGGAACGCAGUGACAGGUGGUGCAUGGCUGUCGUCAGCUCGUGUCGUGAGAUGUUGGGUUAAGUCCCGCAACGAGCGCAACCCACGUCUUUAGUUGCCAGCAUUCAGUUGGGCACUCUAGAGAGACCGCCGGUGAUAAACCGGAGGAAGGUGUGGAUGACGUCAAGUCAUCAUGCCCCUUACAUCCUGGGCUACACACGUACUACAAUGCUACGGACAAAGAGCAGCAAGUUCGCGAGGACAAGCAAAUCUCAUAAACCGUGGCUCAGUUCAGAUCGUAGGCUGCAACUCGCCUACGUGAAGGAGGAAUCGCUAGUAAUCGCAGGUCAGCAUACUGCGGUGAAUACGU
rnacentral:rRNA from 1 species